UACGUAGGCAGCGAGCGUUGUUCGGAUUUACUGGGCGUAAAGGGUGUGUAGGCGGUUUUCUAAGUUUGGUGUGAAAUCUCCCGGCUCAACCGGGAGGGUGCGCCGAAAACUGGGAGACUAGAGUGCGGGAUGGGAGAGUAGAAUUCCUGGUGUAGCGGUGAAAUGCGUAGAUAUCAGGAGGAAUACCAAAGGCGAAGGCAGUGUUCUGGGUGGUACCUGACGCUCAGGGGCGAAAGCUAGGGGAGCGAACGGG
rnacentral:rRNA from 1 species